CGUAAAGCAGUAUGUUUACAUCAACAUGGUGCUGGGCUGCCUAAUGUGUGCUGCUGAGAGGCAGAUGGUCUUAGCUCAGAGCUAGCUUUGUUCAACUGCAGCCAUACACCAUUCUGAAUUUGAGCUAGCAUCCUCCACAGUGACACUCAGUGCUCAGGAUGGUAACAGCUCAGGACCCAGAAUAAGUGUGCAUGCUUCCUAAAUGUUACCACAGCUGAGGUUCAACCUUGGACUCUGGUGGUCUGGAACAACUGCCUUACCAGUUCUCUAUGACAGAUGUAGUCUGACUCAAUCACAAGCAAACUGUGCAGCAGACAGAACAGUAUUUUUAACCCCAGAGUGCUCAUCAGAUUAAACAGGCCAUGGAAACAAUGACAUUUAAGUGCUACUUGGAAUCUUCAUCAUUGGCUAUCUCAAGCUAUUUGCAUUCUCUUCUGGCAACUGACCGAGUGUAACUUUCCUGGGAAGAGCUGUGUACCAUUCAAGCCGCAUCUAAAGCUGAGGAUAAAAUGACAGGAGUGCCAUCAAGUAACUGCUUUAUGGAAAUAAAUGUUUGAGGGACUCAGAGACUGAUUUCAUGUAAGAGUUCAAGAAGAAUCAUGAGUAGAGAAAAAUCAUUCCUGAGAAAAGACAAGCAUAACUGCUGUUCCCUGUGUGCCACCGAAUUCAAUUGCACAUUCUCUAUUUUGGGCUUCAUUAAACAGCAGUAACCUCACAUUUGCUAAGUACCCCACUGAUAAUGCAGGGCCACGGACCUUCCUCUAUCUUUUUUCCUUGUUGCUGUAUAUGGAUUUCAGCACUUUUCUAGCGCUGUAAGUGACAUAGCACAUUUUAAUUAAGUUGCAAUUGAGAGAUUAGACCAAACUUCAGCUAAAAGCUAUUACGGCAGACUCCAUUA